GACUCCAGGUCAGGCGGGACUACCCGCUGAGUUUAAGCAUAUCAAUAAGCAGAGGAAAAGAAACUUACAAAGAUUCCCCUAGUAACGGCGA
rnacentral:rRNA from 1 species